CAGGUUCACAUAACGAACUGAGUGGGAAAACCUGACAAAUUUGGUUCUUGCUUCGUUUGCUUUGGUAGAAUAGAAGAUGCUUCAAUCCUGUAAAUGCAUUUCAGGUGUGACCAAAGCUAAGCCUCUCUGGGAUUAGUGCCACAUAAACGAAACAGAGGAGAGUACAGAGUGGACCAUCCCAAGAUUUCUCUCUUCCUUCUCACCGCCUCAAGAGAAAAUGGGUGAGGAUAGAGGUGGGGAAACGAUGGAUUUUUCACUGCCAGUAAGGAUCUACUGAAGUCAUGGCUGAAGGGAAACUAGAAGUGAUCUUAGCCUACUUGAGUAAUCUCCUGAAGGAACAUCUGGACACUGUACCUUUGAGUCAGGUGACAAGCACCAGUCACUAGCUGGUGACACAGAACACAUUCUCUGGGAUUGGGAUGGUCAGAUGUGCAUUAUAUUCUGUUGACUACAUAAUCAAUCGGAGAAAAGUGGACCAAAAGCUAUGAAGCUGCUCCCUGCCCGCAAAAUGCAGUGAGGUAGGUAGCAUGUCACCCAGCAGCCUACGUAUGGGAAGACUUUUGGAGGAACGCCAUGAAACGAAUGUCUGGAAAAGCGUAGUUACAGCUCUACCAAGAGUCUUAUCACUUCUUUGUGCUGAGACAUGACAAUGGAAGACGCUAUAUGAACA